rnacentral:rRNA from 1 species
UACGGGGGGGGGCAAGCGUUGUUCGGAAUUACUGGGCGUAAAGGGCUCGUAGGCGGCCAACUAAGUCGGACGUGAAAUCCCUCGGCUUAACCGGGGAACUGCGUCCGAUACUGGAUGGCUUGAGUUUGGGAGAGGGAUGCGGAAUUCCAGGUGUAGCGGUGAAAUGCGUAGAUAUCUGGAGGAACACCGGUGGCGAAGGCGGCAUCCUGGACCAACACUGACGCUGAGGAGCGAAAGCCAGGGGAGCCAAAG